rnacentral:misc_RNA from 1 species
AACGCACGAGACCUGCGGACCUGCGGAGGGAUCAUUAUUGAAUUGUUUCUUGAUAGGUUGUCGCUGGCCUCUUGUGGGCAUGUGCACGCCUGUCUUGACAACUUAUUCAUCCACCUGCGCACCCAUUGUAGUCUUCUUCGAGGGAAUCUGGUGAAGCUGGUGGGCCUUGAUUGGUCUUGUGGAACCACUCUCGAGUUGGCUAUGUCUUUUAAACAUCACACCAUGUAGUAUGUUAACCGA